AAGUGGCUGAAGUUUGGUGAAAAUCUUGGGGAGUUCUUAACGAGCUGGAAUCUCUCCACUGACAUUUGCAUUCGUCGCCCUGUCUGGUCCGGGGGUCGAGGAGGAGAUGGAACCGAUCAACACCUGGAGCCCACGCAGGGUCUCGGUGUGGUUACAAGGCCUGGACAACAGUGUGCAGAAAUAUCCAUUUGAUCAAUGGCAGGUGAAUGGAGAGCAACUCUUGCGACUGUCACAGCAGGACCUGGAGGAGCUGGGCGUGAAACGGAUAGGACACCAGGAGCUGAUUCUGGAAGCAGUGGAGCUGCUGUGUGCACUGACCUAUGAUCUAGAGACAGAGAAUCUGAAGAUUCUGAUGGAGAAGUUGAGAGCUGUGUCUGGAACACUCCAGUCAUUCAUCGUCAGUCGGCGGAAGGUCAGCCCAGGUCCACAGAGGCCUUCUGGAGACCUCCUCACCUCUGUCAUAGAUCUUCUUCAAACCACCAAAGCUAUCUUUUCCUGGCUAAACAGGUACCCGUUUAUAUGUAUAAUCAACUACUCUGCCAUGAAGAAAGAGAUCAUCAGGUUAUGUCUGGAGCUAGCAGAAACUAUUCAUAAGGAGUGCAGCCAGACAGAGAAAGAAAAUCGGAUACUGAGCAUUUGCAGGGAACUCUCCAGUUUCUGUGAGAAUAUGGUAAUGGGCAGCCCUGAGGUGUUGGUGAACCAGCAUGCUUGCCUGGAAACUAUACAUCUACUCACCACUUCACCAGGGCAGAGUCUGGGAAUUGAAAUCAAGUCGGAUAAUGGACUGCAUUUUAUCACAGAAACCACGGUAAAUUCUCCAGCUCAUCGUUCUCAGAAGAUUCGUCCAGGAGAUGAGGUGGUCCAGGUGAAUGAUAUGGUUGUAGUUGGGUGGACAUUGAACAACCUGGUUGCCAAACUGCGGGAGAAUCCAAACCAAGUGGUUCUCAUUAUGAAAAAGAUCCCCGUUGAUAUCUUACCACCUUCCUGUUUUUCUGAGAAUGCACAGCUGCAGCAACCCCAUCAACCACAGGUACUGGGAAACACAUCAGAAGAUGCAGCAUCGUGGCCAGACCUGAGUGCAUUCUCUGAAAGAUCUGUCCAGCUUUCUCAGAGGGAGAGAUUGGGGCUCCAGCAGAGUACACAACUUGAUGGCAACACCUUUGAAUCCAGUGCAAGCUGUGAGGACAGGGAUCAGUCAGUGCUGUCUGAAUCCUACUCUGAAACUGGACCUAUGACUGAUGAUGGAGAAGGGGAUCAGGUGCAGUCAGUACAACAUUCCAACACUGAGGGUGAACACAUGCAGGCGACCAGUCAGCUGUCUGAAGAGAGCACUGUGACUUCAUGCGAUGGAGAGGAGAUUGUAAGUGAUGGAACACUAACUCCCCAAUCUCCAAGAGUAAUAGAGCCUCAUAAGGUUGAAGAUAGAAUGAAAACUGACUCUGAACAUGAGGGAAAACCAAAAUCAUCAUCAGCAGAUGAUGAGAGAGCGGUGCAAUUACGGAACAGACGGAAGAAAAAAGGGGUAGCGACUGCACUUAGCCGUAGACGGAUAUCAUGUAGGGAUCUCGGUUUGGGUGAGUGUUAUGGCUGGCUCUGGAAGAAGAAAGAACAUUCUAGAUUCAUGUCACAGAAGUGGAAACGCUGCUGGUUUGUGCUGAAGGGACCCACCCUAUACUGGUACAACAGUGAAAAUGAUGAGAAAGCCGAGGGAUUAAUCAAAUUGUUGUCAUACUCUGUGGAGGCAGCUGGAGAGCACAAGAGAAAAUUUGUAUUCCAGCUUUGUCACCAGAAGUUCAAGUCCUUUGUCUUUUCAGCGGACAAUGUAGAUGAAAUGAGGAAGUGGAUUAACAGCCUGAUCAGUGCCAUCCAAAAAUACAAAAUUGAGAAACCUUCUGAAAACAAAGAGGAAGACUGCUGGAGCGAGACAGAGACUGAAGAAUGUGAUGAUCCAACCUACCUUAGGAGCAAUGAAUUUUCACCCAGAGAACGAUUGAGACAUUCAUCAGGUAACUAUGGACAAGUUGGACGCAGUGGAGACACUGGCCGCCUUAGCGGGCAAUCCAGCCCCAGUAAGGAGGGGAAGCCGUUUCCAGAACCUGAUCAGAGUUCUAAUGAUGAACUGGAGACAUUAAUAAAAGUCUUGCAGCAGGGAGGUGUGUCACUAAUUGGUAAGGAGCAGCCCUUUCGAAAAGAUUAUCAUCGGUCGUUCAUCAGACGAAACAAGAAUCCAAUCAUCAAUGAGAAGGCGCACCAUCUGCGAACACUGCAGAGUACACUGAAGGCGAAGAUAGUAGAUUUGCAAUCCAUUAAUAAGAUCCUUGAAGAUCCCCAUUUAACGGCAGAGAAAUUCCGAAUUUGGAAAGAGGAAAACCAGGAGCUGCUUGCAGACAUCCGAAAGGUUCAGGAACUUGCCAAUGAAGGAUGGGAAGAGAAAGCUGAGCAGUCAGCUUCUGAACCAGGAACAUUUAUGACAGAAAUGGGACAGGGAGCCCUAGAUAAUCCUUCAUCUUUGUUUGAUAUAGAGCAGAUAUCAUCACAAAGCUCAAUCUCCAUGUCAGAUGUGGAACUGGAGAACAGCAAAGGAGUCUGGUCUGAUGGUGCAUCUGUGCAGUUGGGAAUUGGAGAAAAUGACAGCAUAGAAGGGUUGAAUUCCCAACAGGACUUGGGCACAGACAGGACAUUCAGCUGUCCUGAAUCAUCCAACAGUUCAAGAUCCGAGCUAUGGCAGCCUUGAGGACCGAUCAGUGCAGUGAGAAAUAAGGGAAGUUAAUCCCUAAGUAUGAAUAUGGAACUAUGCAUUGUUUAUUCAUAAGCCAUUGUCCCUUGUGAACAAAUUUGCCAAUCUCCUAGCUCAUUUUCUGUGGUUUCAAUGUCUUAUGUUAUAUACUUAUAUAGAAAUAUAAACUGAUUUUAAAAAUAAUUCUUCCAACAAAAUUAAUCAAACUGGAUGGUUACAAAAAAAUAGCAGUAUCUUUUUAGUUAUGGCAUCAUGUGAUGGCGGUGGCAUAGUGGUAUUGUCACUGGACUGGUAAUCCAGAGGCCCAGGAUAAUGCUCUGGAGACGUGGGUUUGAAUCCCACCACGGCAGAUGAUGGAAUUUGAAUUCAAUACUUGCUCGUGCAACUUGCCAUUGUAGUAAUCCUUAAUCAGGUGACUGCUUGUGUUUUGAGGUUUAAACAUAUGCAGAUGGUUUCAAUCAAGUAGAAUCUAAUUUAUAUACAUUUGUGCUGCUGAGGAAUGUACCCAAGAAUUUGGGACAUGGUUUAGGACUGCAAAUUAUUUUCUUGCUUGCCCUUUCCCUGAACAUAUGAAUCUUAUUGGAUUAUUUCCCUUUAGUGAAUGUAAUGUUGCUGCCAACUUCAAUUAAGAGCAGUCAGCUGAGAAAAGUGAGAGUGGAUUAGAUAUUCCCAAUCCAGUCUCCAAGCCACAAAUGAUUUGGAUUUAGGAAAAUUACUUUGAGUUUCACAAUUGUGAUUGUGAGCAGGAGGCAGUGACUGUCCCUCACAGUUCUCGGAAAGGUAAGGGGGCUGAGUCUCCUGUCUUUGUGGAUUGAGUACUGGAGUGUGCAAUACAGUAAACACAAAGAAACCUUUUGACAUAAUUUUAAGCUUGAUAUUAAAUCGACAUGCCUUAGGAAACUAGGAGAAUUGCUAAUGGAAGAGAUGCUUGUUUGUCCAUCUUUUCAAAUUAAACUUGUUGAACUUGCCAAACUGAGAAGAAAACAAAUGCUGUCAAGAGAAGCCACAGAAAUACAGGCCUGCAAGAGAUCGAGUGCUUUGGCUUAUGGAGACUUGGAUUUAUGAAGCAUUGGAUUGAAAUGCUGUGAAGCACAAUGUUCCAAUAACAUCCAAACACCUUUUUCAGGAAAAUUGACUAUAAAGGGCUUCAUAUAAUGGAAGAUUACUGGAGAAAGUAAAAGAAAGACGGAUAGCUUUCUGGGAAAAUUCAAAUCAUGGGUUAAACAAAGCCUGCAGAAUAAAAGGUUUCAUAGGAUGUGUGGCCAGUCAAUGGCUGCACUUGUUACCAAUGCUAUGCUGCCACAGUUCUCGUGUUUUACUUUGGGCGGGGUUCCGGAGCAUGGGGUGGGGUUCAUCUUCGGAAACCAGGAAGCGUGGGUUUCUUUGACUCUGAGUUUUAACUCCUGCUAGUGUGAAACUUCUUGUAUAAAAUUAGGAAAGGGAAAUAGUAAAUUGGGCGUUUAGUGUAAUAUUAACUGUUAUAGGAAUGUUAAUCUAUAAUAAUGGAAUUGCGUGUGACCCUAUCCGUUGUUUCAGCUUCAAUGUAUAAUGCUAAAUAAAUUCAUAUUUAAUGUU